rnacentral:rRNA from 1 species
CCCUUAGAUGUUCUGGGCGGCCCGCGCACUACAUUGGCACUCUCAAUAAGUUCCUAGAUCUAAAACUUUGGGGUAUUCUAUUAAGUGGUGUCGUGACUGGGAUUAACCCUUGCAAUUAUUGGUUACGAACGAGGAAUUCCUUGUAAUCGCGGUUUAUCAGCCCGCGUUGAAUGCGUCCCUGCCCUUUGUACACACCGCCCGUCGCUCCUACCGAUGAAUCGUCCGGUGAAGUUCAUGGAGUGGUGGUUGUUCCAGCUGCUGUCGAGUGAAAUGGACCUCACGAUUUAGAGGAAGGAGAAGUCGUAACA